UACGAAGGUGGCAAGCGUUGUUCGGAUUUACUGGGCGUACAGGGAGCGUAGGCGGUUGGAUAAGCCCUCCGUGAAAUCUCCAGGCUUAACCUGGAAAGUGCAGAGGGGACUGUUCAGCUAGAGGAUGGGAGAGGAGCGCGGAAUUCCCGGUGUAGCGGUGAAAUGCGUAGAGAUCGGGAGGAAGGCCGGUGGCGAAGGCGGCGCUCUGGAACAUUUCUGACGCUGAGGCUCGAAAGCGUGGGGAGCAAACGGG
rnacentral:rRNA from 1 species